rnacentral:rRNA from 1 species
CCUAACACAUGCAAGUCGAACGGUAACAGGAAGAAGCUUGCUUCUUUGCUGACGAGUGGCGGACGGGUGAGUAAUGUCUGGGAAACUGCCUGAUGGAGGGGGAUAACUACUGGAAACGGUAGCUAAUACCGCAUAACGUCGCAAAACCAAAGAGGGGGACCUUCGGGCCUCUUGCCAUCGGAUGUGCCCAGAUGGGAUUAGCUAGUAGGUGGGGUAACGGCUCACCUAGGCGACGAUCCCUAGCUGGUCUGAGAGGAUGACCAGCCACACUGGAACUGAGACACGGUCCAGACUCCUACGGGAGGCAGCAGUGGGGAAUAUUGCACAAUGGGCGCAAGCCUGAUGCAGCCAUGCCGCGUGUAUGAAGAAGGCCUUCGGGUUGUAAAG